rnacentral:rRNA from 1 species
GUUGGUGUGGUAACGGCGCACCAAGACUAUGAUGGGUAGCCUGGUCUGAGAGGAUGUACGGCCACACUGGGACUGAGACACGGCCCAGACUCCUACGGGAGGCAGCAGUAGGGAAUUUUCCACAAUGCCCGAAAGGGUGAUGGAGCGACGCCGCGUGGGUGAUGAAGGCCUUCGGGUNUGUAAAGCCCUGUUGUAAGGGACGAAAAAGACGGUACUUUACGAGGAAGCCUCGGCUAACUCUGUGCCAGCAGCCGCGGUAA